rfam:Equus caballus chromosome 7, whole genome shotgun sequence.
AGAUGGUCCCCGAGCUCCCACAGAGUCCCCGGUGAAAGGACGCUGCAGCGCCGCCUCUAUUACGAUACCGUAAAUCUUUUUAAAUUCUGGAACUAAUUAUAUAGAGGAUAUGUCUCAAUUUGUUCUGCAUUAAUGCCACAGUGGGGAUGGAGGCCGGGCCGUGGCCGGAGCAGAUACUCGGCCCAUGAAAUUGAUGAACUGAGAGCUGCUUCCAGUCCCGGGCGCACCAUCUGGAAUUCCAGUCUGAGGUUACAAUUAGAACUCCUGACCCCAGAUUCAACUCUGCAGACAAC